CAUGGCUCAAGAUGAACGCUAGCGGCAGGCCUAACACAUGCAAGUCGAGGGGUAAGCGUAGCUAGCUACGCCUAGACCGGCGCACGGGUGCGUAACGCGUGUACAAUCUACCUUUUACUGGGGAAUAGCCCGAAGAAAUUUGGAUUAAUGCCCCAUAGUAUAGAGCAGUGGCAUCACAGCACUAUUAAAGCUUCGGUGGUAAGAGAUGAGUACGCGUUCUAUUAGUUAGUUGGUGAGGUAACGGCUCACCAAGGCUAUGAUAGAUAGGGGUUCUGAGAGGGAUGUCCCCCACACUGGUACUGAGAUACGGACCAGACUCCUACGGGAGGCAGCAGUGAGGAAUAUUGGUCAAUGGUCGGAAGACUGAACCAGCCAUGCCGCGUGCAGGAUGACGGCCUUAUGGGUUGUAAACUGCUUUUGUAUGGGAAGAAUAAGGGGUACGUGUACUCUGAUGACGGUACUAUAUGAAUAAGCAUCGGCUAACUCCGUGCCAGCAGCCGCGGUAAUACGGAGGAUGCGAGCGUUAUCCGGAAUCAUUGGGUUUAAAGGGUCUGUAGGCGGGCUAUUAAGUCAGAGGUGAAAGCACUGAGCUCAACUGAGUAACUGCCUUUGAAACUGAUAGUCUUGAAUACUUACGAAGUAGCUGGAAUGUGUAGUGUAGCGGUGAAAUGCUUAGAUAUUACACAGAACACCGAUAGCGAAGGCAUGUUACUAGUAAGGUUAUUGACGCUGAGGGACGAAAGCGUGGGGAGCGAACAGGAUUAGAUACCCUGGUAGUCCACGCUGUAAACGAUGGAUACUAGCUGUUUGCGAGAAAUUGUGAGUGGCUAAGCGAAAGUGAUAAGUAUCCCACCUGGGGAGUACGCACGCAAGUGUGAAAACUCAAAGGAAUUGACGGGGGCCCGCACAAGCGGUGGAGCAUGUGGUUUAAUUCGAUGAUACGCGAGGAACCUUACCAAGGUUUAAAAUGGGAAGCGACGUAGGUAGAGAUACCUAUUUCUUCGGACGCUUUUCAAGGUGCUGCAUGGUUGUCGUCAGCUCGUGCCGUGAGGUGUCAGGUUAAGUCCUAUAACGAGCGCAACCCCUGCCUUUAUUUGCCAUCGAGUAGAGUCGGGCACUAUAGAGGGACUGCCGGUGCAAACCGUGAGGAAGGUGGGGAUGACGUCGAAAUCAUCACGGCCCUUACAUCUUGGGGCUACACGCGUGCUACGAUGGUCGUUACAGAGAGCGGCCAACGGGGUGACCGUGAGCGAGUCUUAAAAGACGAUCGCGGUUCGAUUCGGAGUCUGCGAACUCGAACUCCGUGAAGCUGGAUUCGCUAGGAUUCGCGCUCGGCCGUGGCGCGGUAAUACGUUCUCGGGUCU
rnacentral:rRNA from 1 species